rnacentral:misc_RNA from 1 species
GCAAACUUGGUCAUUUAGAGGAAGUAAAAGUCGUAACAAGGUUUCCGUAGGUGAACCUGCGGAAGGAUCAUUAUCGAGUUUUGAACAGGUUGUAGCUGGCCUCUCACGAGGUAAAUGUGCACGCCUGGCUCAUUCCACUCUUUAACCUCUGUGCACCUCAUGUAGGAAGAGAGACGGUCAGAAAGAAGGCCUUCGAAAGUCGGUCUUCAGAAGUCUUAUCUCUUCUUACGUUUUUAUUACAAACGCUUCAGUCAAAUGAAUGUAUCUUUGCGAAUAACGCAUUUAUAUACAACUUUCAGCAACGGAUCUCUUGGCUCUCGCAUCGAUGAAGAACGCAGC